rnacentral:rRNA from 1 species
UACGUAGGGGGCUAGCGUUAUCUGGAAUUACUGGGCGUAAAGGGUGCGUAGGUGGUUUCUUAAGUCAGAGGUGAAAGGCUACGGCCCAACCGUGGAACUGCCUUUGAAACUGUAGAGCUUGAGUGUCGGAGAGGGUGGCGGAAUUCCAGGUGUAGGAGUGAAAUCCGUAGAUAUCUGGAGGAACACCGGUGGCGAAGGCGGCCACCUGGACGACAACUGACGCUGAGGUGCGAAAGCGUGGGUAGCAAACAGG